rnacentral:rRNA from 1 species
ACGGCUCAGUAACACGUGGACAAUCUAACCUACGGAGGGGGAUAACCCCGGGAAACUGGGGAUAAUACCCCAUAGACUAUAGAUGCUGGAAUGCUUUGUAGUCGAAAGGUCCGCCGCCGUAGGAUGGGUCUGCGGCCGAUUAGGUUGUUGUUGGGGUAACGGCCCAACAAGCCUGUAAUCGGUACGGGUUGUGGGAGCAAGAGCCCGGAGAUGGAUUCUGAGACACGAAUCCAGGCCCUACGGGGCGCAGCAGGCGCGAAAACUUUGCAAUGCGGGAAACCGUGACAGGGGAACUCCGAGUGCCCGUUAAAUCGGGCUGUCCAUCGGUUUAAAUAACCGGUGAAGAAAGGGCCGGGCAAGACCGGUGCCAGCCGCCGCGGUAAUACCGGCGGCUCGAGUGGUGGCCACUAUUACUGGGCUUAAAGCGUUCGUAGCUGGUUUGUUAAGUCUCUGGGGAAAUCUUCCGGCUCAACCGGAAGGCGUCUCAGGGAUACUGGCAGACUAGGGACCGGGAGAGGUGAGGGGUACUCCAGGGGUAGGAGUGAAAUCCUGUAAUCCUUGGGGGACCACCUGUGGCGAAGGCGCCUCACCAGAACGGCUCCGACAGUGAGGGACGAAAGCUGGGGGAGCAAACCGGAUUAGAUACCCGGGUAGUCCCAGCUGUAAACGAUGCGCGUUAGGUGUAUCGGUGACCACGAGUCACCGAGGUGCCGAAGAGAAAUCGUGAAACGUGCCGCCUGGGAAGUACGGUCGCAAGGCUGAAACUUAAAGGAAUUGGCGGGGGAGCAC